UACGAAGGGGGCUAGCGUUGCUCGGAAUUACUGGGCGUAAAGGGUGCGUAGGCGGGUUUUUAAGUCAGGGGUGAAAUCCUGGAGCUCAACUCCAGAACUGCCUUUGAUACUGAAGAUCUCGAGUCCGGGAGAGGUGAGUGGAACUGCGAGUGUAGAGGUGAAAUUCGUAGAUAUUCGCAAGAACACCAGUGGCGAAGGCGGCUCACUGGCCCGGUACUGACGCUGAGGCACGAAAGCGUGGGGAGCAAACAGG
rnacentral:rRNA from 1 species